rnacentral:tmRNA from 1 species
GGGGGCGAUACGGUUUCGACGGGGAGAGUUGCGACAGUCUAAGCGAGCCGAGUUGUCCGCGGACUCGAUAAUCAAGCGGAAAACACACAAAAGCCAAUAAUUACGCUUACGCUGCUUAAUUAAAGCAGACGUCCGAAGCGGCCCCAUCCCGGAGGGUUGCAAGGGCGCCAAAUAAACCGGGGAUGCUCUUCCGGCAAUUCUCGGAGCCGGAGGAAAAGAUCAUCGAGAUAGCGACUGGGGAGCCGGCCGAGGGGCGCUCCGGAAGCGAAGUUGAAAACUGCGGCUACGCUCGUAGAAGGGGCUGAAGUGACCUUUUCGGACCCGGGUUCGACUCCCGGCGCCUCCACCA